UGGAGUCUUUUGGAUGAGUUUUGUGGA
rnacentral:piRNA from 1 species